rnacentral:rRNA from 1 species
UACGGAGGGUGCGAGCGUUAUUCGGAAUCACUGGGCGUAAAGGGCGCGUAGGCGGCCUGGUAAGUCAGGGGUGAAAUCCCUGGGCUCAACCUAGGAAUUGCGCUUGUGACUGGCGGGCUCGAGUACGGUAGAGGGGGGUGGAAUUCCUGGUGUAGCAGUGAAAUGCGUAGAGAUCAGGAGGAACACCGAUGGCGAAGGCAGCCCCCUGGGCCUGUACUGACGCUCAUGCACGAAAGCGUGGGGAGCAAACAGG